rnacentral:lncRNA from 1 species
CUUGAAGCUUCCAUUUCACAUAUGCACUCAAGUUUCUGUUGCAUUGAUAUAACUUGAAUUUAGAAGGAUUUGUUUCAUAAUUAUGGUCGAGGUUUACCGCGUUAAUUAUCCAAUUUCCAAAGACAUCAGAAGAUGCAGAUAUCCUGGCCUUACAUCCUAUCUUAAUUGUUGGUUGUGACUUCAAAGAACCAAUGGUAUUACCGAUUCUUCCACCUUCACGGCUACAUGUUAACGCCACAUAUCUCAAAACUCCAUCGUCCUUGUUUUUCGAAUUCCUGUUCUUAACUGGGAUACCCACUACAUAAGCAUAUUUCUUGUAGCAAUUAUACAUAUCGUUUUCAUUUUUAAACAACAUACCAACUUCAGGCACAAUUAUACUAUCUUUCCUUAAUUUUUCACCUUCCGCUACAUUUACGGACUCCAUAACAUUCUCAUUAUCAGAUUGCACCAAAACGUUGUCAUGCUUGUCUUACGCGUCCAAAUCCAUACUUUAUUCUACUACGAAAAAAACAACGGUCAUGUUCAGUCAAUGUAUACAGCAAUUAUCACUACAUUUGGUAUCAUUUUUGAAAAAUACUUAUGAGUUCAAUUGUAUGAUUUGCCUAUACGUAUACCAAUAUGUUAUGUAGCCUAGGGUGCAGCAAAACAACGUAUUACAUAUUUAUAAGUAUAUAUGAAGUCUACCAAUUGCAAUAAAUCGAUACAUAAAAAAUAUUUCAGGUUCAAUAACUACAGGUGCAAAAUUGAAAAAUUGUAGGGGCGUGCAAAACUGCAAAAUUUCAUUGGUCAAGGCAGUGCCUUGGAUUCAUGAAAAUUAAGUCUUCUAGCUGUAAUGAAGCACACAAAAGUUACACAUUACAAACUUCUAAACGAUAACGGUGAGGAUACCUUUAUAUGUACUGACCAGGAUUCUGAUGCACAACAAAAAUUCCGAUUCUUGCGGGUUUCUCAAAUUUGCAAAUAUGGAAGAUCUUCACUCUUAUGUUUUCAGGUGCGGCUCUUGCACGUUCGCCAGAAGUACUAAAAUCGUCGAAAAUAUCGCUGCCAGAGUUCAAAACAGCGUUGCCGGCACAUUAGGAUUUCUAAUUUCGGGGAAAAUGGUUUUAAGAAAGAGUGGUAGUUUUAUUGCUGUCGAUUGGUUUCCCUUCAAAGGCCAAUAUGCUGUGUAAAUUGGGCUUCCCUCCCAAAAAAAAAAAACCAAAUGACACGUCAUUUAUUAUAAAACCCUGUUUUUUAGUUUGUUUCUGAGCCCUUUCUUGAAUUUCUUAUUAUAAUAAAGUGUUUUCAUUGUAAUGCCAAAUAUUGAACGAAAAAUGCUACUCAAACAGGGAAGAAAGCAGGGUGAUGUGGCUGCUCAUGAUUGAGUGUUUUGUUUUUCCAACUUCCAAUGAAAAUUUAUCGAGUGUAGUCUGGAAAAAAAUUCUGUCACUGAGUCUGGCCAGGUAGCAUGAUUGAUACUGAAUUUUAGUAUUUCAAAAGUAUUAGAAAUUUUGUCUUCAAAAAAGAGACAAAUCAUUAAGGGUGCAGUUGGUCUAGUUUUCCAUUUUCGAUUUUAAAACAAUUUUUAAUUUUCCUCGAAAACGGCGUAUUUUGGGCGUUUUACGCAUUUUGGGAAUUUAUAAUUGAAAACACUCAAAAUGAUAAAAAGUCGUUUUGCAUUUUUGGUUAUAAAUUUUAACUCGUUUUCAAAAACGACGGACCAAACGCGUUUUUCGUGUUUUCGAAAACGGAAAAUGGCUUGAAAAAGCCAAACCAACCGCAGCCUAAUUAUCUUUAGGUCCACUGACAGAAACUUAGCAGGUUAAGGAUUUCUAGCUGUCUCUUGGUGAAAUUUUUUUAUUUUUUAUUAUUAUUAUCAUUAUUAUUCUUUUUUGGCGUUUAAAACGUUGUUAGUCAUUGAACUUACACUAAAAAAAUAAUAAUAAUAAUAAAUAAAAAAUUAAUCACCAAAUCUUAUUUAGGCACUGCAGAAGUCUGGUAAAUUAGAAGGAAUGCUAACGCCCCAAAAAAAAUAUGACGUAGCAUGAUAAACUGGGGCUAUGGAUUAUGAAGGCUCAAGUUCGAAGACAAUCUCUACUAAAAGCUCAAAGGGAAACUCGAUGAGCAAACUACCGAAGUAACAAAAAACGAUAGAAAGUAGGGGAACUCUCUUCAUAUAUCCUCAAGUAGUUAACAACAGAAUUCUGCACUUCAUGUUUUGGAAACGAAACUUUAUCUUAGUAUGCCCAUGUUUGGAUUCAUUUUGAAUCUCUUGCUUUGGAUCAUUAGAUCUUUGUAAUUUUUGUUUUGUAGGUCUGGGUAUGUCUGCAGUAGUUGUACUCUAUUUUUGAUCUAUAUAUUUAUUUACCGAUAAAAAAAAUAUAUAAAUUUGUAGAUACAUUAUUUUAUCGUCUAACCAGACACUAAUAGAACUUGUUAAACUAGUUACUUUUGUAUGAUUUACUUUCAUUCAUACGUUCCGUUUUUCUUUUCAGACAAAUCAUUAUCAAGAUGAAUGUUGAAGCUUCAAAAUAUAUGAUGUAGCAAAACUAUGAUGCUCUACACGUUAUUGUUACUUCAAGGACGUAUUUGGUACAUUACUAGACAGUGUUGAAUAGCACUAUGAACAAUAUUUCUAACUUUUUUUUCUUAUUUAAUUCUGCCUAAGAUUAUCAAAUCCACUUAACCAAACAAUUUAUAAAUGUUCACAUAGAGUAACCAAAACAGGAAGAUUCAAUGAAGGGACCUUCAAUUUGACUCGGCAAUGGCCAUCAUCUUCCUUUGAAGUUCUUCCUUGUUGGAACCUACAAGUUUGUCCAGUUGUCGU